rnacentral:rRNA from 1 species
UACGUAGGUCCCGAGCGUUGUCCGGAUUUAUUGGGCGUAAAGCGAGCGCAGGUGGUUUAUUAAGUCUGGUGUAAAAGGCAGUGGCUCAACCAUUGUAUGCAUUGGAAACUGGUAGACUUGAGUAUCGGAGAGGCAGGCGGAAUUCCUAGUGUAGCGGUGAAAUGCGUAGAUAUUAGGAGGAACACCAGUGGCGAAGGCGGCCUGCUGGACGACAACUGACGGUGAGGCGCGAAAGCGUGGGGAGCAAACAGG